UAAUGUUUCAAGUAACACUCCAUAACCGACUAUUGGUUACAGUGUUAUUUAUUACGUUGUGCCACCUGGCUAAAUUUAAUCACUUUCGAUAGACCGUAAUUGUGCGAUGUAGAACAUAUGGAACCGAUGAUGGCAUGGCAGCAGGUUUACAAGUUGACAAUGCAUUUCAGUCAUGUAGGAUAACGAAUUGUAACAUGAAAAUUAUUCAAACAUAAUGGUUUUCUAUGUCUAUCGUCUAGUAUUUACAACACUUACAAUACUACAACAUUUAUUAUAUUAUUAGGUACCUAUCUAAGAAAUUUGUUAAUUUAUGUAAAAUGCAGUCAUCUGUCUGCAGUAAUUAUUAAUUAUUAAUGGGGUGUAUGUAUUAUUAAAGACCACAAAGAAUGAAAAA